CCAGCAGGUUCUCGGGAAGCUCUUCAGGAAGAGAGCCGGCAGAGGUCUGAAGUGGAUCUCACCCCUGACCGAUCUGCUCCCAGUCCUGGUCUGGACUCGCUGUGGGAGCAGGAGGAAGAGCCAGGUUUGAGGAGCUGUUUUGUACUGGAUCCUGCACUGCGGGGCUGCAGGGAGCUGCAGGACCCCAGAGUGGACAGGGCGUCCCCAGGGAGGGCGAGACCACCGUCUACUCUGACCUCAGGACAAGUCUUCUGCAGGGGGCAGCAGAGCUCAGACCGACCCAGUGUUCCCUGUAAUAGGAGAUUACUGGCUGUUCAAUGUGCUGCUUAUUCUGUGUGAUGGACAGACACUGUACUGGUUAAUAGGUGUGCUCCUGAAAAGACUGCCGGAUCCAGAAGAGGGAAUGUAAUUAGAGA